rnacentral:snRNA from 1 species
UCACUUCAGCAGCACAUUUACUAAAACUGGAACGACCGAGUGACUCCUGCACAAGGAUGACAUGCAAAUUCGUGAAGCAUUCUAUAUUUUA